rnacentral:lncRNA from 10 species
AAAAGGCCCAAGAGGACCAGGUACGCAGAACUUCUGGACAGCUGAGCUGGUGAAGGCUUGCAGGAAGGUGAACAAGAAUUCACCCAUGUGUUGGGAUGAUGGUGCACCCCAACUCCACGGGAAUAGAAGCUCCCGUGCUCAGGACCCUUCCAGACCUCGCCCUAUGUGCCUCUUCAUCUGGGUGUUUAUUCGUAUCCUUCAAAAUAUCCUUCAUAAGAAACUGAAGAAGUCAUCUACCAGGUUGUGAGGACAUACAAACAGCCUUUGGAGAGGCCCACGUGGGAAGAAACAGAUCUCUCAUUAACUACCAGCACCACCUUGCCAGCCUUGUGACUGUAUCUCCUUGAAAGUAGACCUUCCACCUGCAGUCAAUUUUGAUGUUGCAGCCCCAGCUGACAUCUUGACUACAGCCUCACGAGAUGCACUGGGCCAGAACCUCCCAGCUCCGCCAUUCCAGAAUUCAUGAUCUACACAAACCCACUAUUGACGACAGCAAAGAUAU